GGCUGGAAGAAUGAAGGCUGUGACGCACGAUUAUCUUCCCUCUGCCGACUCAUUGGCUGCUGGGUCCGCCCGUCAGUGAGCUCAGGUUCAGGGCUAUGCCAUCAGGGCAGAUUAUGAAGCAGAUCUUGUCUCUAGUGCUCUCCUCCACUUGUCUCAAUGGCUGAACACAGGCUCUCCACGCUUCUCUUGCUGUGGCUCUUUGUGUGCAUGCAGCGGGCAUGGCCGUUUGAUCAAGUGCCUGAAAUCCUGGACAGGAGGUCACCCAGUACCUGCCUAAAUCCUGGCCUGACCUAUGUGGAGGAGAGCAAAUACAGAAGACUCUUAAUAAGCUUGGAGGUCCCACCAUUUCAAGGUAUCAGAAUCAGACCAGAUGGAGUAGGCAUUGAAAGUUCAAGUGUCUCACACGAGGAGAGUUUUUCGCCUGCAGCUGAAAACCCACUCCGAAAAAUGUUGCAGCCCUAUGGAUGGCAUUUGCACACUCAGCCCAGAACUAAAAGGAAGUUACUUCAGUCUACUAGCUCAGGGCCAUACUCUCCUUUGAGUGUAGCUUAUAAUGGCAAGAUAUGCAUCCUGUUCAAGGCCAAGAGGCUGGCUAUUCGCUACAGAAACAACACUUUUCUGGACUUAACAGAAAGGGUAUUUGGACCCAAUGCCUCUGUAGACACCAAAGGCUCUGUAUGCACCAAAGAAAAGGCUAC
ensembl:lncRNA